AUUGAACGCUGGCGGCAGGCCUAACACAUGCAAGUCGAGCGCGUGGCGGACGGGUGAGUAAUGUCUGGGACACAGCUUGAUGGAGGGGGUUAACUACUGGAAACGGUAGCUAUUACCGCAUACCAUCGGAUGUGCGCAGAUGGCAUUAGCUAGUAGGUGGGGUAAAGGCGCACCAAGGCAACGAGCCCUAGCUGGUCUGAGAGGAUGAACGGCCACACUGGAACUGAGACACGGUCCAGACUCCUACGGGAGGCAGCAGUGGGGAAUAUUGCACAAUGGGCGCAAGCCUGAUGCAGCCAUGCCGCGUGUAUGAAGAAGGCCUUCGGGUUGUAAAGUACUUUCAGCGGGGAGGCGUUACCCGCAGAAGAAGCACCGGCUAACUCCGUGCCAGCAGCCGCGGUAAUUC
rnacentral:rRNA from 1 species